CCUACGGGAGGCAGCAGUGGGGAAUUUUGGACAAUGGGCGAAAGCCUGAUCCAGCAAUGCCGCGUGAGUGAAGAAGGCCUUCGGGUUGUAAAGCUCUUUUGUCAGGGAAGAAACGGUGAAAGCUAAUAUCUUUUGCUAAUGACGGUACCUGAAGAAUAAGCACCGGCUAACUACGUGCCAGCAGCCGCGGUAAUACGUAGGGUGCAAGCGUUAAUCGGAAUUACUGGGCGUAAAGCGUGCGCAGGCGGUUUUGUAAGUCUGAUGUGAAAUCCCCGGGCUCAACCUGGGAAUUGCAUUGGAGACUGCAAGGCUAGAAUCUGGCAGAGGGGGGUAGAAUUCCACGUGUAGCAGUGAAAUGCGUAGAUAUGUGGAGGAACACCGAUGGCGAAGGCAGCCCCCUGGGUCAAGAUUGACGCUCAUGCACGAAAGCGUGGGGAGCAAACAGGAUUAGAUACCCUGGUAGUCCACGCCCUAAACGAUGUCUACUAGUUGUCGGGUCUUAAUUGACUUGGUAACGCAGCUAACGCGUGAAGUAGACCGCCUGGGGAGGUACGGUCGCAAGAUUAAAAACUACAAAUAGAAGUAGUAGCGNGAGAGAGCGACGACGACACAGGAGGAGGNG
rnacentral:rRNA from 1 species